rnacentral:rRNA from 1 species
AUUGAACGCUGGCGGCAUGCCUUACACAUGCAAGUCGAACGGUAACGGGUCCUUCGGGAUGCCGACGAGUGGCGAACGGGUGAGUAAUAUAUCGGAACGUGCCCAGUAGUGGGGGAUAACUGCUCGAAAGAGCAGCUAAUACCGCAUACGACCUGAGGGUGAAAGGGGGGGAUCGCAAGACCUCUCGCUAUUGGAGCGGCCGAUAUCAGAUUAGCUAGUUGGUGGGGUAAAGACCUACCAAGGCAACGAUCUGUAGUUGGUCUGAGAGGACGACCAGCCACACUGGGACUGAGACACGGCCCAGACUCCUACGGGAGGCAGCAGUGGGGAAUUUUGGACAAUGGGCGCAAGCCUGAUCCAGCAAUGCCGCGUGCAGGAAGAAGGCCUUCGGGUUGUAAACUGCUUUUGUCAGGGAAGAAAUCUUCUGGGCUAAUACCCCGGGAGGAUGACGGUACCUGAAGAAUAAGCACCGGCUAACUACGUGCCAGCAGCCGCGGUAAUACGUAGGGUGCGAGCGUUAAUCGGAAUUACUGGGCGUAAAGCGUGCGUAGGCGGCUUUGCAAGACAGAUGUGAAAUCCCCGGGCUCAACCUGGGAACUGCAUUUGUGACUGCAAGGCUAGAGUACGGCAGAGGGGGAUGGAAUUCCGCGUGUAGCAGUGAAAUGCGUAGAUAUGCGGAGGAACACCAAUGGCGAAGGCAAUCCCCUGGGCCUGUACUGACGCUCAUGCACGAAAGCGUGGGGAGCAAACAGGAUUAGAUACCCUGGUAGUCCACGCCCUAAACGAUGUCAACUGGUUGUUGGACGGCUUGCUGUUCAGUAACGAAGCUAACGCGUGAAGUUGACCGCCUGGGGAGUACGGCCGCAAGGUUGAAACUCGAAGGAAUUGACGGGGACCCGCACAAGCGGUGGAUGAUGUGGUUUAAUUCGAUGCAACGCGAAAAACCUUACCUACCCUUGACAUGUCAAGAAUUCUGCAGAGAUGUGGAAGUGCUCGAAAGAGAACUUGAACACAGGUGCUGCAUGGCCGUCGUCAGCUCGUGUCGUGAGAUGUUGGGUUAAGUCCCGCAACGAGCGCAACCCUUGUCAUUAGUUGCUACGCAAGAGCACUCUAAUGAGACUGCCGGUGACAAACCGGAGGAAGGUGGGGAUGACGUCAGGUCCUCAUGGCCCUUAUGGGUAGGGCUACACACGUCAUACAAUGGCCGGUACAGAGGGCUGCCAACCCGCGAGGGGGAGCCAAUCCCAGAAAACCGGUCGUAGUCCGGAUCGUAGUCUGCAACUCGACUGCGUGAAGUCGGAAUCGCUAGUAAUCGCGGAUCAGCUUGCCGCGGUGAAUACGUUCCCGGGUCU